AUUGAACGCUGGCGGCAUGCCUUACACAUGCAAGUCGAACGGUAACGCGGGGGCAACCCUGGCGACGAGUGGCGAACGGGUGAGUAAUACAUCGGAACGUACCCAGUAGUGGGGGAUAGCUCGGCGAAAGCCGGAUUAAUACCGCAUACGACCUAUGGGUGAAAGCGGGGGAUCGCAAGACCUCGCGCUAUUGGAGCGGCCGAUGUCGGAUUAGCUAGUUGGUGAGGUAAAGGCUCACCAAGGCUACGAUCCGUAGCUGGUCUGAGAGGACGACCAGCCACACUGGGACUGAGACACGGCCCAGACUCCUACGGGAGGCAGCAGUGGGGAAUUUUGGACAAUGGGCGCAAGCCUGAUCCAGCCAUGCCGCGUGUGUGAAGAAGGCCCUCGGGUUGUAAA
rnacentral:rRNA from 1 species